rnacentral:rRNA from 1 species
GACGAACGCUGGCGGCGUGCUUAACACAUGCAAGUCGAGCGGUAAGGCCCUUUCGGGGGUACGACGAGCGGCGAACGGGUGAGUAACACGUGGGUGACCUGCCCUCAGCUCUGGGAGUAAGCCUGGGAAACGUAGGGUCGUAAUACCGGAUAUGACUCCAUGACGCAUGUUGUGGGGUGGAAAGCCUUGUGCGGCUGAGGAUGGGCCCGCGGCCUAUCAGCUUGUUGGUGGGGUGAUGGCCUACCAAGGCGACGACGGGUAGCCGGCCUGAGAGGGCGACCGGCCACACUGGGACUGAGAC